rnacentral:rRNA from 1 species
UACGGAGGGUGCAAGCGUUAAUCGGAAUUACUGGGCGUAAAGCGUGCGCAGGCGGUUUGUUAAGUCUGUUGUGAAAUCCCCGAGCUCAACUUGGGAAUUGCAUUGGAUACUGGCAGGCUGGAGUAUGGUAGGGGAAGGUGGAAUUCCCGGUGUAGCAGUGAAAUGCGUAGAGAUCGGGAGGAACACCAAUGGCGAAGGCGGCCUUCUGGGCCAAUACUGACGCUCAUGCACGAAAGCGUGGGGAGCAAACAGG